UGGGGAAUUUUGGACAAUGGGCGCAAGCCUGAUCCAGCCAUGCCGCGUGCGGGAAGAAGGCCUUCGGGUUGUAAACCGCUUUUGUCAGGGAAGAAAUCUUCUGAGUUAAUACCUCGGGAGGAUGACGGUACCUGAAGAAUAAGCACCGGCUAACUACGUGCCAGCAGCCGCGGUAAUACGUAGGGUGCAAGCGUUAAUCGGGAUUACUGGGCGUAAAGCGUGCGCAGGCGGUUUUGUAAGACAGAGGUGAAAUCCCCGGGCUCAACCUGGGAACUGCCUUUGUGACUGCAAGGCUUGAGUGCGGCAGAGGGGGGAUGGAAUUCCGCGUGUAGCAGUGAAAUGCGUAGAUAUGCGGAGGAACACCGAUGGCGAAGGCAAUCCCCUGGGCCUGCACUGACGCUCAUGCACGAAAGCGUGGGGAG
rnacentral:rRNA from 1 species